rnacentral:rRNA from 1 species
UACGUAGGGGGCUAGCGUUGUCCGGAUUUAUUGGGCGUAAAGAGCGUGUAGGCGGCCAGGUAGGUCCGCUGUGAAAGUCCGAGGCUCAACCUCGGAAUGUCGGCGGAAACCCUCUGGCUAGAGUCCGGAAGAGGAGAGUGGAAUUCCUGGUGUAGCGGUGAAAUGCGCAGAUAUCAGGAAGAACACCCGUGGCGAAGGCGGCUCUCUGGGACGGUACUGACGCUGAGACGCGAAAGCGUGGGGAGCAAACAGG